GACGGGACCCGCACAAGCGGUGGAUGAUGUGGUUUAAUUCGAUGCAACGCGAAAAACCUUACCCACCUUUGACAUGUACGGAACCCUUUAGAGAUAGAGGGGUGCUCGAAAGAGAGCCGUAACACAGGUGCUGCAUGGCUGUCGUCAGCUCGUGUCGUGAGAUGUUGGGUUAAGUCCCGCAACGAGCGCAACCCUUGUCAUUAGUUGCUACAUUCAGUUGGGCACUCUAAUGAGACUGCCGGUGACAAGCCGGAGAAAGGUGGGGAUGACGUCAAGUCCUCAUGGCCCUUAUAGGUGGGGCUACACACGUCAUACAAUGGCUGGUACAAAGGGUUGCCAACCCGCGAGGGGGAGCCAAUCCCAUAAAGCCAGUCGUAGUCCGGAUCGUAGUCUGCAACUCGACUACGUGAAGUCGGAAUCGCUAGUAAUCGUGGAUCAGAAUGUCACGGUGAAUACGUUCCCGGGCCUU
rnacentral:rRNA from 1 species